AGUAUGAUGUUAGCUGUGGGUUUGUCGUAUGUGGCAUUUAUUAUGUUAAGGUAUGUUUCUUUUAUGCUCAGUUUGCUGAGAGUUUUUAUCAUAAGGGAUGUUAAAUUUUAUCAAAUGCUUCUUCUACAUCUAUUAAGAUGGUCCUGUGGUUUAGUUGUUCAUUCUAUUGAUAUGAUAUAUCACAUUUGUUGAUUUCUAUGUGUUGAACCAUCCGUGUAUCCCUUGUAUAAAUCUCAUUUGACCAUGUUGUAUUAUUGUUUUAUAUGCUGUUGGAUUCAGUUUGCUGGUAUUUUGUUAGAGGAUUUUUGGGUCUAUGUUCAUCAGAGAUUUGGGUCUGUAAUUUGUUUUUUUGUUGUUGCAUCCUUGUCUGUUUUCGGAAUAAGGAUAAUGCUGGCCUCAUAGAAUGAGUUAGGGAGAAUUCCCUUCCCUUUAAUUUGUUUAAAUAGUUUGAAGAAAAUUAGUGUUAGUUCUUUAUACAUUUGGUAGAAUUUAGUAGGGGAGCCAUCCAGUUUGGGACUUUUCUUUGUUGGGAGACUUUAUUACUGAUUCAAUCUCACUACCUGUUACUGGAUACCUGGGCUUCUUAAGCUGCUUCACCAUCUCUUCCUGCCUCCUUCCUGUCUCCUCUUUUACUUCUUCUUCUUCUUUUUUUCUCACCACUUGGUAAAGUGGCUGGUAUGGCACCAAUAGGACACAAAGAUGCUAUUUUAGAAUAACAUACGGAGACUAAUAUACUUUACCUAGCCUUGCAAGAUUACUGGCUCAGGAGAAGCCACACCAGGGUUCCCCACUUCUCCCCUGUGUUUAUGCAGAUGGGAUGCGAGCCACUUGCAGGCCUGGCCUAUAAAAGAUUCCCAUACAUGCUUUCCAUUCUCAGCUCCCUUUCCAACUGACUGGGAUCUCAAUGCCCAUGGAGCCCUUGGAGGCCACAUACUGAACACAGACAAGUCUCCUUCAGUCAGAGUCUCUGAAAGACCGUGUCAGGGAGAGCUGCUCCACCAACCUUGUAGCAAAAAAUGUGUUUUUAUUAUGUUAAGCCACUAGAAUUUUGAGGUCUAUUUGUUUCUACAAGUUAAUGCAAUCCACUUAGCAGAUGGCUGCAUGGCCCAUAAAAGAGAUGAUGAGGAUUUGGUUCAGGGAUGAGGCCACAGGGAAUAAAAAUGCAAAGAUAAACUGUGGCUCAAGCCAUACAAGCUUUCCUCACAUUGCUCAGAGGAAUGGAGAGGAGUUAAAGGAGUCCAUUGGAGUUGAAUGAAAGCUCUACUGCCUGGAAGGAACUCCUGCAAGCAGGUAGCCAAAUAGAUGAUGAAGCUGAUGGUGGAGGUGUCAGUCAGGAAAAGUAGUAGCCAUGGCAACAGACUUGGUAGAAAGGCCACCAAGAGGCAGUACAGAGCAAUUUGGCCGGGACAAAACAGCAGGAAGAUAUCAAUAACAGAGAUGGAAACUGUUGGGACUCGGGAAGGCAGAGGUGGAGGCCCUGGGUUUAGCUCAGGGGGUUUGUGCUGUCUUUCUCCUUGCCUCGCUCUCCCUGCCAUAACACACUGAAGAGAGUGUUCAGAAGCCCAAGCUACAGAGGGAGAGAGGAGGAUGAAUAGGUCUGGAAGAAGGAAUUUGCUUGAGUUCUUUCCUCUUCCACUUUUCCUGUCCUUUUCUUCAACACUUAUCACAGAUCCUCCCUGGUUGCUUCCAAGCAGAAUAGAGCCCAGGCUGCCAUGCUAAACACGACUAAAACAUUCCAGAGAUGUCAUCAAGCCCCAAACACUUGCUAGCAACACAUUUUAAGAGUGUAUGUGGUAUGGGGGCGGAGUAAAAGAAUUUAUUAGGGGGAUAACUAAUGAUUUUGGCGGGUCUCAAAGAUAAUUGUUUUGAGCUGUUAUUUAUCCUGUUUUACCUCUGCCCGCCUUUUCCCAUCCUACCCCAAUUCUCAAAUCCUUUACUAAGUGUUUAAGAGAUGCAAAUGCCCUUCCCCCCUUCCCUAUCCUGCUUUCUUUUGCUGUCAGAGUCUCUAUUUUUACUUCUAUUUUUUCCCCCAG
rnacentral:lncRNA from 1 species